UAACCAAGGUGAGGACAUUGAUUUAAUAAAUCCUUGAAGGGCUCCCAAGCUUAAUAUAACGUUUCAUUGUCCUUUUGGGUGAAAGUUGAGAUAUGUCGUUUAAGAGC